AAGCGCUUGCAACCAGACUUGCGCGCUGAUGAUCAUCCGGGCUUCUACCCGGUGCACUCGUCUGCGCUCAGGCCAGCAUCGGUUUCGGUGGUGGGAUAAAGGCCUUGGGAAUGUGGCUCUCUUCGGGGAGUGUUAUAGCCCACCGUGUAAUACCCUGGGGGGGACUGAGGUUCGCGCAUCUGCAAGGAUGCUGGCGUAAUGGU
rnacentral:rRNA from 1 species